rnacentral:rRNA from 1 species
UACGUAGGGUGCAAGCGUUGUCCGGAAUUAUUGGGCGUAAAGAGCUCGUAUGCGGUCUGUCGCGUCUGCUGUGAAAAUCCGGGGCUCAACCCCGGACUUGCAGUGGGUACGGGCAGACUAGAGUGUGGUAGGGGAGACUGGAAUUCCUGGUGUAGCGGUGAAAUGCGCAGAUAUCAGGAGGAACACCGAUGGCGAAGGCAGGUCUCUGGGCCACUACUGACGCUGAGAAGCGAAAGCAUGGGGAGCGAACAGG